rnacentral:lncRNA from 10 species
AGAUAAAGGGAUAUGAUCACCUACCAAUAUGCCAUUCUCAGGACUAUGGAAUGGGGAGAAAAUCCGAGAUUCAGCAUUUACCCAAAGAGGACUUCUAACCAGAAGUAAAUGGAUGACAAAAAUUCACCAAUUAUGGACGUUUCUCCAAAAACGUGUCAAGAGAAAGAGAAAAACAAAAAUGCAUGACUAUGAAUCUACCCAAGUCAGAAAUUCAAGGCCCUGUCUAAAGACACAUCCUGAAUCAAACCAUAUGAGAAAAAUUACAAGACAAGAACACAUUUCAAAAUGGAGGUAGAGGAAACAACACUUUUGGGUAAAGUACAACUGAUGAUUGUGCCAACAUGUGCUAACCCACAGCCCGCAACUGAGGCUGAUACUCCCUGGCAACACUCCAAUUACCACCUCUCAUCUGGCAAGCCCAGUAGUUCAGUUCCUCAACAUCAACGAGCUUGAUAUGAUUGCAGGGAAGUGGCGCCCCUACGUGCCCUGGAACACCGGAGCAAGAUGGCAUUUGUUAGUGUUCAGAUCUGUUUUAGCACUGAAGAUGUUCCAAGCCCCUUAAAAUCUCUGAGUGGCCAAAGUGGGGAAUUAUGGAUGGAAAGUAACACAUCUUUAAAGGGGCAUUUGUUACUGCAAGUGUUGGUAAUAAAACAAAGUGCUGGAGAAAGCAAAG